rnacentral:rRNA from 11 species
UUAAAGAGCCUAAAUACCCUUAAGACAUUAGAUAUCUUCUGAUAUUAGAAGCUAAGCAGGGUCAGCUUUGGUUAGUACUUGAAUGAGAGACCAUCAAUGAAUACCAGGAGUGUUGUUGAAG